CCUACGGGGUGCACCAGUGGGGAAUAUUGCACAAUGGGCGCAAGCCUGAUGCAGCCAUGCCGCGUGUAUGAAGAAGGCCUUCGGGUUGUAAAGUACUUUCAGCGGGGAGGAAGGCGAUAAGGUUAAUAACCUUGUCGAUUGACGUUACCCGCAGAAGAUGCACCGGCUAACUCCGUGCCAGCAGCCGCGGUAAUACGGAGGGUGCAAGCGUUAAUCGGAAUUACUGGGCGUAAAGCGCACGCAGGCGGUCUGUCAAGUCGGAUGUGAAAUCCCCGGGCUCAACCUGGGAACUGCAUUCGAAACUGGCAGGCUAGAGUCUUGUAGAGGGGGGUAGAAUUCCAGGUGUAGCGGUGAAUUGCGUAGAGAUCUGGAGGAAUACCGGUGGCGGAGGCGGCCCCCUGGACAAAGACUAACGCUCAGGUGCGAAAGCGUGGGGAGCAAACAGGAUUAGAUACCCCUGUAGUC
rnacentral:rRNA from 1 species